GACAGAGGGUGCAAACGUUGUUCGGAAUUACUGGGCAUAAAGCGCACGUAGGCGGCCUUGCAAGUCGGUUGGUGAAAGCCCGGGGCUCAACCCCGGAGGUGCGGCCGAGACUGCAGGGCUGGAGGCCGGAAGAGGAGGGUGGAAUACCCAGUGUAGAGGUGAAAUUCGUAGAUAUUGGGUGGAACACCGGUGGCGAAAGCGGCUCUCUGGUCCGGACCUGACGCUGAGGCGCGAAGGCGUGGGGAGCAAACAGG
rnacentral:rRNA from 1 species